GUACAAUUUGCCAAUGCUUCCACAACGGAACCAAUUGUUUUACAGUCUGUUCCGCAUGAUCAUUGUAAUAAGAUAGGGUCUUGCUCUGUCACCCUGUCUGGAGUGCAGUGGCACUGUCACAGUCAAUCCAACAUCAACCUCCUGGGUUCAAGUGAUCCUCCCCGCUCAGCCUCGCAAGCAGCAGGGACUACUGCCACAUUGUCGGGGGAAAUUCAGCCCGUGAUAUUUCACGUGCCCAGAUUUCAUGCUGUUCAAACACACAUGCUUUACCAACAAUUUGUGCAGUUAACACAACCAUCACAGGGUCCUGAGGCGACAUUCAUCCUCAGCUUACGAAGAUGACAGGAUUAAGAGAUUAAAGACAAGACAGGCAUAGGAAAUCACAAGAGUAUUGA